GUCCAGACUCCUACGGGAGGCAGCAGUGGGGAAUAUUGCACAAUGGGGGAAACCCUGAUGCAGCGACGCCGCGUGAGUGAAGAAGUAUUUCGGUAUGUAAAGCUCUAUCAGCAGGGAAGAAAAUGACGGUACCUGACUAAGAAGCCCCGGCUAACUACGUGCCAGCAGCCGCGGUAAUACGUAGGGGGCAAGCGUUAUCCGGAUUUACUGGGUGUAAAGGGAGCGUAGACGGCAUGGCAAGUCAGAUGUGAAAGCCCGGGGCUCAACCCCGGGACUGCAUUUGAAACUGUCAGGCUGGAGUGCAGGAGAGGUAAGUGGAAUUCCUAGUGUAGCGGUGAAAUGCGUAGAUAUUAGGAGGAACACCAGUGGCGAAGGCGGCUUACUGGACUGUAACUGACGUUGAGGCUCGAAAGCGUGGGGAGCAAACAGGAUUAGAUACCCCUGUACC
rnacentral:rRNA from 1 species